rnacentral:rRNA from 1 species
CCCAGACUCCUACGGGAGGCAGCAGUGGGGAAUAUUGCACAAUGGGGGGAACCCUGAUGCAGCGACGCCGCGUGGGUGAAGGAGUACUUCGGUACGUAAAGCCCUAUCAGCAGGAAAGAAAAUGACGGUACCUGACUAAGAAGCCCCGGCUAACUACGUGCCAGCAGCCGCGGUAAUACGUAGGGGGCAAGCGUUAUCCGGAUUUACUGGGUGUAAAGGGAGCGUAGACGGCAGUGCAAGUCCGGAGUGAAAGCCCGGGGCUCAACCCUGGGACUGCUCUGGAAACUGUAAAGCUGGAGUGCGGGAGGGGCAGGCGGAAUUCCUGGUGUAGCGGUGAAAUGCGUAGAUAUCAGGAGGAACACCGGCGGCGAAGGCGGCCUGCUGGACCGUAACUGACGUUGAGGCUCGAAAGCGUGGGGAGCAAACAGGAUUAGAUACCCGGGUAAG